rnacentral:rRNA from 1 species
AUGUGCGGAUAUGAAAUCCCAAUGGGGAAUUUUUCUAUGCCACAGCAGCCUUUCGAGACAGGCUCGCCGACCGGAGGUGCCUCAGCUUCCGUUGGGUACAACGGGCGCGAGCGCCGCGCGGGGGAAGGGGACCCUCAACGACGGCCUGGAAGGCUGCGCCAUGGCCGGAGGGAGGAGCGACCGCGGCGCGCGCGCUUCAGCCAGCGCCGGCCAGAGGCCGCCAUCAUGCCUUCUGCAAGUGAGGCCUUGGUCGCAGGCGCUGCGUCAGAUGCAGGUGGGCGUUGCUAUGGAGGAACGGCCGGGGGCCUCGUCAUCCGCUGA